rnacentral:rRNA from 1 species
AGUUAAAAAUUAAUUAGAUCAAAAAUAUUAAAUUAAAUAGAAUUUUUUGAGUAUGAAAUUAGUAUGAGUACAGAAGGUAAGAAAAGUUAGGAUUUUAUAGAUAAAUAGUAUUGAGAAAGAAUUUUUAGAUUAUUAAGGAAGAAUAAAAAUUUUAGUAUCUUGUGUAUCAGGGUUUAUUAAAUAAUAUGUUAGAAUUUGAAUUAAAUUCAAAUUCAAAUGAAUUAUUUAUAUGAAUUAGUUAUUGUAAUAGAAAUAUUAUGUACAUAUAUAAAUUGAUCGAAGUUAAAAGUUAUUCGGGUUUGAAGUUAUUUAAUUGUUUGGGAAAUAAAUUUAAUUUAGAAUUUGAAAACUCUAAUUUAAAAACUUUUGGUUUUUAAAUUAAGGUUAAAAUUUAAUUUAUUAGGGGAUAAGCUUUAAUAAAAAAAUGAAAAUAGUAGAAUUAAUUAGUAGGAUAAGGCUAUAAAAACUAGGAAAAAAAAUGUUUUUUUAUGGUUGAUGAAAUAAUUAAGUUUUUAAUAAAUUUUUAUAAGAAUAAAUUUAAAUUUUAAUGGUUAUUUAAAGUAUACUAAACUAAAAAUUUAAAUUUUUAUAAUUUAGUAAUAAUGAUAAAAUUAGUAAAAUUAGUUAUUAAUAAAUAUGAAGAUAAUUUUAUAAAAUAAAUUUUAUGAAUUAGGCAAUAUAUAAUUUGACUGUUUAACAAAAACAUUUUUUUUUGAGUUAAUUUAAAAUAUGGCCUGCCCACUGAAUUUAUUUGAAGGGCUGCAUGAUUAAUUGUACAAAGGUAGCAUAGUCAAUAGUUUUUUAAUUGAAAACUUGAAUGAAUGGUUGAACAAAAUUAUAACUUUAUUAAAUUUAUAAUUCAAAUUUUAUUUUUAAGUGAAAAAGCUUAGAUUGGAUAAUAAGACGAUAAGACCCUAUAGAUCUUUAUAAAUUUGGAAAAAUUUGAAUUAUAAAUUUAUUUAAUUGGGGUGAUUUUAAAAUUUAACUAACUUAUAAAAGUGGAUGAGUAAAUUUUAAACAUAAAUUAAUGAGUAGAAGGAUUUAUAAAUUAUGAAUAUUAGAAUAAGUUACCUUAGGGAUAACAGCGUAAUGAUAAUAUUAAAUUUUUGAUAUUAUAGAUUGCGACCUCGAUGUUGGAUUAAAAUUAAUUUUAGAUAUAGAUAUUUAAAAAUUUAGUCUGUUCGACUAUUGAAAUUUUACAUGAUCUGAGUUCAAACCGGCGUGAGCCAGGUUGGUUUCUAUCUAUUAUAUGUUAAUAAGAUUUAGUACGAAAGGAAUUAAUUUUAUUUAAUUAAGUUAUUUAAUAAGUUAGAAUUAAAUU